AGCAGCCGCGGUAAUUCCAGCUCCAAUAGCGUAUAUUAAAGUUGUUGCAGUUAAAAAGCUCGUAGUUGAAUUUCGGGAUUGACGUGAUGGUCAUGCCUUAAGGGGUAUGAACUGUUACAGUUGAUUUCUCACCUUCUGGAGAAACUUGAUGUCCUUUAUUGGGUGUCUUGCGGAUCCAGGACCUUUACCUUGAAAAAUUAGAGUGUUUAAAGCAGGCAUUUUUGCUCGAAUACAUUAGCAUGGAAUAAUAGAAUAGGACGGCAUGGUUCUAUUUUGUUGGUUUCUAGGAUCACCGUAAUGAUUAAUAGGGAUAGUUGGGGCAUUAGUAUUCAAUUGUCAGAGGUGAAAUUCUUGGAUUUAUUGAAGACUAACUACUGCGAAAGCAUUUGCCAAGGAUGUUUUCAUUAAUCAAGAACGAAAGUUAGGGGAUCGAAGACGAUCAGAUACCGU
rnacentral:rRNA from 1 species